rnacentral:rRNA from 1 species
GUAGUCCACGCCGUAAACGUUGGGCGCUAGGUGUGGGGGUCCUUCCACGACCUCCGUGCCGCAGCUAACGCAUUAAGCGCCCCGCCUGGGGAGUACGGCCGCAAGGCUAAAACUCAAAGGAAUUGACGGGGGCCCGCACAAGCGGCGGAGCAUGUGGCUUAAUUCGACGCAACGCGAAGAACCUUACCAAGGCUUGACAUGCAGGGAAAUCCCCCAGAGAUGGGGGGUCCGCAAGGGCCCUGCACAGGUGGUGCAUGGUUGUCGUCAGCUCGUGUCGUGAGAUGUUGGGUUAAGUCCCGCAACGAGCGCAACCCUCGUCCAAUGUUGCCAGCGGGUAAUGCCGGGGACUCAUUGGAGACUGCCGGGGUCAACUCGGA